rnacentral:rRNA from 1 species
UGGGGAAUAUUGCACAAUGGGCGCAAGCCUGAUGCAGCCAUGCCGCGUGUGUGAAGAAGGCCUUCGGGUUGUAAAGCACUUUCAGCGAGGAGGAAGGGUUCAGUGUUAAUAGCACUGUUCAUUGACGUUACUCGCAGAAGAAGCACCGGCUAACUCCGUGCCAGCAGCCGCGGUAAUACGGAGGGUGCAAGCGUUAAUCGGAAUUACUGGGCGUAAAGCGCACGCAGGCGGUUUGUUAAGUCAGAUGUGAAAUCCCCGCGCUUAACGUGGGAACUGCAUUUGAAACUGG